AGUGGCCUACGGGGGGCAGCAGUGGGGAAUAUUGCACAAUGGGGGAAACCCUGAUGCAGCGACGCCGCGUGAGCGAAGAAGUAUUUCGGUAUGUAAAGCUCUAUCAGCAGGGAAGAAAAUGACGGUACCUGACUAAGAAGCCCCGGCUAAAUACGUGCGAGCAGCCGCGGUAAUACGUAUGGGGCAAGCGUUAUCCGGAUUUACUGGGUGUAAAGGGAGCGUAGACGGCAUAGCAAGUCUGAAGUGAAAGCCCGUGGCUCAACCGCGGAACUGCUUUGGAAACUGUUGAGCUGGAGUACUGGAGA
rnacentral:rRNA from 1 species